rnacentral:lncRNA from 1 species
ACAGCAGACCUAUGAAGGUCGAAGGGGAAGAAAAGCUGUAUCGAUUGUUGAGAUCUGGCGACUUGUUUAAAUUUCAUCAGCCUCACUUCUAUGAACUCUCAGGCCUCACGUGUACCAGCUCUCUGCUCUCCUUUGCCUUGGGACGUUCCAUCCCUGGAAGUUUCCCUGCCCACAUCUUUGUAGAGAGUCCAUUCUCCAAGCUUCAGUGUGUCAUCUGUGAGGACCGUGACCCACCUGGUACAUCGCCUCAGGGCAUUCAUUUCAGGCUCCUUCUAAAUGGCCAAGUUUUCAAGAUUGUUUUGGCUCUAGCAAAACAAGUUGGAACAUUCACAUCAUCCAUCUUCUGCCAGCCUAACAAGCAUAGCAAGAAGAUAUAGCCCCACAACCACUUUAUGCACAAAGUUAGAAGCAUAAAAUCUCAUGGAAGGAGACCGAUUAUCUACAGAAGAGGUUGUCUUGCCAUUUCUCUCAUGUUAGAGGUAAACCUCAGGUUCUCCUCCUGCCUUUUGCUAAGUAUAUGUCUUGAUGACAAGCCUUCUGCUGAUGAGCUGUGUUUCUGGACCGAUCAUGGUAGAAGUCAAUUAACGUGUCCCUCACUUGGGGUUUCUCAAGG